GACACCAAGCUACUCAGCUAAGUUUGAUGUGAGAGGAACCUCCCCACUUGACAUCCUCUCAAUAAAGAUUGAAGGCUCUGGAAUGUUGGCCACCCCUGAUUCCAUCAAAGCCCAUUUGAAAAGCUCUUUGGCGCAUAAGUUCCUCGAAGCCAGUAUUAGUAUUGUUGAGGAUGCAACCAUCACAGACAAAAUCAAUUU